ACAACAUUCGGACCGUCGGUCUACCGAGCAAUAUCACCCGCUCGAUGGAAGAUCUUCCCUUUGUCGU
rfam:Bombyx mori DNA, contig: Bm_scaf107_contig36923, strain: p50T/Dazao, build 2, whole genome shotgun sequence.